rnacentral:misc_RNA from 1 species
GAUGAAGAACGUAGCGAAAUGCGAUAAGUAAUGUGAAUUGCAGAAUUCAGUGAAUCAUCGAAUCUUUGAACGCACAUUGCGCCCACCAGUAUUCUGGCGGGCAUGCCUGUUCGAGCGUCAUUUCAACCAUCAAGCCCCCGGCUUGUGUUGGGGACCUGCGGCUGCCGCAGGCCCUGAAAAGCAGUGGCGGGCUCGCUGUCACACCGAGCGUAGUAGAUUUCAUCUCGCUCAGGGCGUGCUGCGGGUUCCGGCCGUUAAACCACCUUCAUAACCCAAGGUUGACCUCGGAUCAGGUAGGAAGACCCGCUGAACUUAAGCAUAUCAAUAAGCGGAGGA